GGGACACGUGGUAUCCUGUCUGAAUAUGGGGGGACCAUCCUCCAAGGCUAAAUACUCCUGACUGACCGAUAGUGAACCAGUACCGUGAGGGAAAGGCGAAAAGAACCCCGGCGAGGGGAGUGAAAAAGAACCUGAAACCGUGUACGUACAAGCAGUGGGAGCACGCUUAGGCGUGUGACUGCGUACCUUUUGUAUAAUGGGUCAGCGACUUAUAUUCUGUAGCAAGGUUAACCGAAUAGGGGAGCCGAAGGGAAACCGAGUCUUAACUGGGCGUUAAGUUGCAGGGUAUAGACCCGAAACCCGGUGAUCUAGCCAUGGGCAGGUUGAAGGUUGGGUAACACUAACUGGAGGACCGAACCGACUAAUGUUGAAAAAUUAGCGGAUGACUUGUGGCUGGGGGUGAAAGGCCAAUCAAACCGGGAGAUAGCUGGUUCUCCCCGAAAGCUAUUUAGGUAGCGCCUCGUGAAUUCAUCUCCGGGGGUAGAGCACUGUUUCGGCAAGGGGGUCAUCCCGACUUACCAACCCGAUGCAAACUGCGAAUACCGGAGAAUGUUAUCACGGGAGACACACGGCGGGUGCUAACGUCCGUCGUGAAGAGGGAAACAACCCAGACCGCCAGCUAAGGUCCCAAAGUCAUGGUUAAGUGGGAAACGAUGUGGGAAGGCCCAGACAGCCAGGAUGUUGGCUUAGAAGCAGCCAUCAUUUAAAGAAAGCGUAAUAGCUCACUGGUCGAGUCGGCCUGCGCGGAAGAUGUAACGGGGCUAAACCAUGCACCGAAGCUGCGGCAGCGACGCUUAUGCGUUGUUGGGUAGGGGAGCGUUCUGUAAGCCUGCGAAGGUGUGCUGUGAGGCAUGCUGGAGGUAUCAGAAGUGCGAAUGCUGACAUAAGUAACGAUAAAGCGGGUGAAAAGCCCGCUCGCCGGAAGACCAAGGGUUCCUGUCCAACGUUAAUCGGGGCAGGGUGAGUCGACCCCUAAGGCGAGGCCGAAAGGCGUAGUCGAUGGGAAACAGGUUAAUAUUCCUGUACUUGGUGUUACUGCGAAGGGGGGACGGAGAAGGCUAUGUUGGCCGGGCGACGGUUGUCCCGGUUUAAGCGUGUAGGCUGGUUUUCCAGGCAAAUCCGGAAAACUAAGGCUGAGGCGUGAUGACGAGGCACUACGGUGCUGAAGCAACAAAUGCCCUGCUUCCAGGAAAAGCCUCUAAGCAUCAGGUAACAUCAAAUCGUACCCCAAACCGACACAGGUGGUCAGGUAGAGAAUACCAAGGCGCUUGAGAGAACUCGGGUGAAGGAACUAGGCAAAAUGGUGCCGUAACUUCGGGAGAAGGCACGCUGAUAUGUAGGUGAAGUCCCUCGCGGAUGGAGCUGAAAUCAGUCGAAGAUACCAGCUGGCUGCAACUGUUUAUUAAAAACACAGCACUGUGCAAACACGAAAGUGGACGUAUACGGUGUGACGCCUGCCCGGUGCCGGAAGGUUAAUUGAUGGGGUUAGCGCAAGCGAAGCUCUUGAUCGAAGCCCCGGUAAACGGCGGCCGUAACUAUAACGGUCCUAAGGUAGCGAAAUUCCUUGUCGGGUAAGUUCCGACCUGCACGAAUGGCGUAAUGAUGGCCAGGCUGUCUCCACCCGAGACUCAGUGAAAUUGAACUCGCUGUGAAGAUGCAGUGUACCCGCGGCAAGACGGAAAGACCCCGUGAACCUUUACUAUA
rnacentral:rRNA from 1 species